rnacentral:misc_RNA from 1 species
AAGUCGUAACAAGGUUUCCGUAGGUGAACCUGCGGAAGGAUCAUUAAUGAUUAAAUCUCGGUUGCUGCUGGGCUCUCCUUGGGGGCCAUCCGUGCACGCCGUAAUUCAUUCAUCUACCCCUAUCUGUGCACCGAAUGUAGGCUGGGAAGUAUUCUCGGCUUACGUAUUAUCCUUUACAUACCCCUAUCCUUUUAUUACUUUGAAUGAAAUCGUCGGAAGACUAAAAAUCUUCUCGAAUAAAUGAAAAUACAACUUUCAACAACGGAUCUCUUGGCUCUC